GAACUUUGCAAGAACAGGGGCAUCGUUUGUGAAGUGCGGGCCGAGAGCAAUGCGGAGGAAUCGGAUGAUGAUGAAACUUCAGAGCCAGCACUCAUAAGCGCGCCUAUAGCAGUGGGCUACAUAAAGGAUCUCAGGCGAUUUGUCAAUGCCAAGGGCCUCGGCGAAGAGCGCGCUUCCGCGUUAAAUAUUUUAAGCUGGAGACCACCCUCAU
rnacentral:lncRNA from 1 species